ensembl:lncRNA LINC03002 long intergenic non-protein coding RNA 3002
GGGAAUUAGCAAAGCCUGGGAAGCCUGAGACAGGCACCUCUUCCUGGGCAACUGAUUCAUCAUAUAGAGUGCAGUCUCCGCUUCUCUGCUUGUAAAACUUAUAAGCCAUAAUUGCCCUGCAAUGGAUCAUGGAUCCCAGGCUGCUUCUGGACAGGCUCCAGACUCACUGGAGACAUCCUGACACAUAAUGCUUCGCCCAGCACAAUGCGAUGCCCUUUACCUAGUAAAAGGGUGAGUCCCGUAAAGGUGCUGCCUUCCCCCCAGAACAAACAAGGGAAAUGCAUCAGGAGAGCUCAGCUGCAGACAGAAUGCACAUCAUGAAGCAGGAGCCACCCUGGGAUUCCUCAGAUGAAAGCCAAUUUCAAUGAACAUUGUGUUUCAAAGCCCGCUUCCUCUUGCUCGGUUGUCUGCCAACGCUAACUGGCCAGCUCUGACAGGAGGUGCGUGGCCCAGGAGGAGCCAUCAGGCCAGUUCUCUGGGAUACUGCUGUGUCUCCAGCUCUGCAGUUUGCUCUUCGUCACUCAGCGGCAGACGGAGAGGCAGACACGAGCCCCUUGUGAGCCCUCCUCCUUACCGUCAUCUCACAAUGCUCUGAAAUAAGGAGGCAAAUGGCUGAGGUCCCCUCAGUUGUAGAUGUGAUUGAGUUCUAUCUACCAGAAGCAUAUGCCUCCUGGAAGCCUGGUUCUAACACCUCCCACAAAAUCCUUCAAGCACUUUUUUCUGUUCCAAGGUUUGCUUAUGGGGGACCCAGUGAAGUGCUUCAGAGCCCUAGAGAUUUGCUGAGUCAUAUGAGGGGUCAGCAAACUUUUCCUGUAAAGGGUCAGAUAAUAAACAUUUUAAGCUUUGUAGACUGUAUAAAGUCUCUGUUUCUUCUCCCCCUCCUCCUCCUCUUUCUCCUUCAGCUUCUUUCCUUUAAAUAUGUACAAAACCUUUCUUCUUUUCCAAAAUCUGUCUAUAUUUGACCUGUGAGCUGUAGUGUGCUGAGUCCUGCAUUAGUAGGAAAGAUCUUGAGUUUCAGAAUGACGA